UACGUAGGGGGCAAGCGUUGUCCGGAUUUAUUGGGCGUAAAGAGCGUGUAGGCGGCCAGACAGGUCAGCUGUGAAAACUCGAGGCUCAACCUCGAGACGUCGGUUGAAACCGUCUGGCUAGAGUCCGGAAGAGGAGAGUGGAAUUCCCGGUGUAGCGGUGAAAUGCGUAGAUAUUGGGAGGAACACCAGUGGCGAAGGCGGCUCACUGGACCGGUACUGACGCUGAUGCGCGAAAGCGUGGGGAGCAAACGGG
rnacentral:rRNA from 1 species